rnacentral:tRNA from 1 species
UGCCCGAUGGUGUAACGGUAGCACAUCAGACUCUGGAUCUGUGAGUCUAGGUUCAAAUCCUAGUCGGGCAACCA